rnacentral:rRNA from 1 species
AUUGAACGCUGGCGGCAUGCCUUACACAUGCAAGUCGAACGGUAACGGGCCUUCGGGUGCCGACGAGUGGCGAACGGGUGAGUAAUACAUCGGAACGUGCACGAUCGUGGGGGAUAACGAGGCGAAAGCUUUGCUAAUACCGCAUACGAUCUACGGAUGAAAGCAGGGGACCGCAAGGCCUUGCGCGGACGGAGCGGCCGAUGGCAGAUUAGGUAGUUGGUGGGAUAAAAGCUUACCAAGCCGACGAUCUGUAGCUGGUCUGAGAGGAUGAUCAGCCACACUGGGACUGAGACACGGCCCAGACUCCUACGGGAGGCAGCAGUGGGGAAUUUUGGACAAUGGGCGCAAGCCUGAUCCAGCCAUGCCGCGUGCAGGAUGAAGGCCUUCGGGUUGUACACUGCUUUUGUACGGAACGAAAAGCCUUCUUUUAAUACAGGAGGGUCAUGACGGUACCGUAAGAAUAAGCACCGGCUAACUACGUG